CGGUUGCGGCUCUGGUGUUCACUCAUGGUUCUUGUGUUGCCUACUAGUUUAGCAGUAUUCAUGUGCCUCUUAAGACCUGUUCGAUCUAGACCCCUUCUAGGGGCUGUUAGGGGGUUCGAAAGUGAUGCGUGUUUUACAUUAGCUGUACGUUGUAAUGGCUCAAGUGCUCGCAUGUGUCUAUUAUUCCCUCGGUUGCGGUGCAUGCGAUGAACGUGGGCUGAGAAUUGUGCCCCGUUGAGUCCCUUUGAUUUAUCGGUUGCCUUGAAUGACACUUUGUCGUAGUGCUGGUGUUGUUUUACCAUUCGUGGUGACAACACUUGUACGUCGAGCAAAGUCGUUGAUGG
rnacentral:misc_RNA from 1 species